GCAGUCGAGCGACAGAAAAGGAGCUUGCUCCUUUGACGUUAGCGGCGGACGGGUGAGUAACACGUGGGCAACCUACCCUAUAGUUUGGGAUAACUCCGGGAAACCGGGGCUAAUACCGAAUAAUCUCUUUUGCUUCAUGGUGAAAGACUGAAAGACGGUUUCGGCUGUCGCUAUAGGAUGGGCCCGCGGCGCAUUAGCUAGUUGGUGAGGUAACGGCUCACCAAGGCGACGAUGCGUAGCCGACCUGAGAGGGUGAUCGGCCACACUGGGACUGAGACACGGCCCAGACUCCUACGGGAGGCAGCAGUAGGGAAUCUUCCACAAUGGGCGAAAGCCUGAUGGAGCAACGCCGCGUGAGUGAAGAAGGUUUUCGGAUCGUAAAACUCUGUUGUAAGGGAAGAACAAGUACAGUAGUAACUGGCUGUACCUUGACGGUACCUUAUUAGAAAGCCACGGCUAACUACGUGCCAGCAGCCGCGGUAAUACGUAGGUGGCAAGCGUUGUCCGGAAUUAUUGGGCGUAAAGCGCGCGCAGGCGGUCCUUUAAGUCUGAUGUGAAAGCCCACGGCUCAACCGUGGAGGGUCAUUGGAAACUGGGGGACUUGAGUGCAGAAGAGGAAAGUGGAAUUCCAAGUGUAGCGGUGAAAUGCGUAGAGAUUUGGAGGAACACCAGUGGCGAAGGCGACUUUCUGGUCUGUAACUGACGCUGAGGCGCGAAAGCGUGGGGAGCAAACUGGAUUAGAUACCCUGGUA
rnacentral:rRNA from 1 species